CCAAGCCGAAGGCAGAUGCUUAACCGACUGAGCCACCCAGGCACCCCAAGCUUAAUUUCUUUUUAAAAAGAACUGCAUUCUACUACUACAGAGUAGUAGAAAGAAAAUCAUUUCUUAUAUUCUAAAGUUAAAUAGAAUGACAUUCGGAUUAUUGGUUAUUUGGGGUUUGCCAUUGGACCAGACAAUUGGAAGUUGGCUACCAGGAGAUCUGUGUGUAAUAAUAGUUCUGCUUGUGACGUUGUGCAGCUCACUUAACCUCUGAGGACCUUGUUUUGUUCAUCAGGACAGCACAUGUAUGUAGUGGGGAGGGUGGAAGAUGAUUGUGGCAAGGAUCCAUAGAAAUGGCUUCUAAGGUCUCUUCUUGCCCAGACAUGCUUGGACUUGAACUUUCUGAUCCAUCCCAGAGUGUCUUAAAGAAAGCAGAAUAGUGUAAUGACUAAAAAUGUGGGUCUGGGACUCAGUGUAUUUGUUUAGAUGCCUUUGGUUCAGGCAAUAGAAAUCUAAAGUCAGUUGGUUUUAACAAAAAGGGGAUUUACUGACUCAUGUAACUGAAAAGUCCAGAAGUGGGUCAGGUUUUUCAGGUAUUGUCUGAUCUAGAGAUUCUUAAUGUCUUCACAAAUAUGACUCCAUUUGUCUGAUUCUCUUUGCUCCGCUGUCUUCCAUGGGUAGCUUUAUCCUUGAGGUAGCAAGUGGCUGCAGCAUUUCAAGGCUUCAUAUCUGCACAUCACCGUAGUUCAGAACAAGAAAGAACGUUUCCAUCUUCAACCAUCAAAGUCCUGGGCUUUACUCUGAAUGGACCAACUAUGUCAUGUGCCCACUCUUCAUCCAGAGACCGACCAGGCGACACCAAGCGCUGAUCGGUUCAGGUCAAUUACGGCCCAAGUGUAGAAGUUAGGGGAGGAGAGUGUCAGCCCCACCCAAGUCACCAGGGUACUGCAUAGGAGGGCAAGAUAGAAUGGGUGUGGAGAAGUUUGACCAUAUUCUCCACUGUUACAGCCACGUUGCCCAUGAUCAAAUUCUGGCUCUGUUAGCUGUAUGUUCUUGGGGAAAUUGCCUAACUUUGUCAAGCAUCAGUUUCCUCAUCUCAGUUUUUCAAUUAAUAAUGUAUUAAAGCACUUAGUGUAAUUCUUGGCACUCCCUGAGUGUCAUGAUGACGAUGCUGAUGGGGAUGAUGAGAUUGAAGAGGGAUAGAGAUCAAUGGCUUUGGCCCCAAGUUAGAGAGCAGCCGAAUUAGAGGAAUGUUUGCUAGUCAGGAACACACACCUGCCAUGACGAGGGCUCCUGGUUGAUCUGCUGCCACAUUGCAUUCUUCCCCGUCUCUGCCCUUUCCUGCUCUUAUGCCCUGUGUAGAAAUGCUUUCGUUCCUCUCCCCUGCCCCUAAAUCUUUCUCCUACCUCAAGGCCCAGCCUGAGUGCCACUGUUACAGUAGCUUAGGUCCGUGUUUGUGUAGACAUAUAACUGAGUCUCCCCCAUGAGCAGGACCAGUUGGGGUUAAGAGCUUAGGUCUGGAUUAGACAGACCUGGGUUUGCUGCCCCGAAGCAGGAUAACUUCGGGAAAGUUGUUCAACCAUUCUGUACCUUAGUUUCCUCAUCUAUCAACAGGGUAUUCGUAGGACCUUCCUCAGAGUUGUGGAGAGAAUGAAAUGAUGUUCUGUAUGGAGGGAGCUUAGUUCAGUGCUGACACAGCGAAUAAUACGUUUUAUUAUUCCUGGCCUCAUGAGGACACGGUCUGGGUUACAUUCUCUGCAGAGGUGACUGCCACACACUGGGCAUGUGCCAUCAAGUUCAGCACUGUCCAGGUCGUUGUGUGUUUCAACUGGUGAUGAAAUGGGGGUGAACCAGUCCAUGGGCUUCCCACCUGUCACAGGACCCCACCUCGUAGGCUGCGGGGAUGUGAUGGAGGGCCAGGGUCUCCAGGGGAGCUUCUUUAGACUCUUCUACCCCUGCCAAGAGGCAGAGGAGACCACGGAGCAGCCCCUGUGGAUUCCCCGCUAUGAGUACUGCACCGGCCUGGCCGAUUACCUGCACUUGAAUAAGCGCUGGGGGGGGUUGCUGUUCAGCUUGGCUGUGGGAUCUUGUCGCCUGCCUGUUAGCUGGAAUGGCCCCUUUAAGACAAAGGACUCUGGAUACCCCUUGAUCAUCUUCUCCCAUGGCAUGGGAGCCUUCAGGACGCUGUAUUCAGCCUUCUGCAUGGAGCUGGCCUCCCACGGCUUUGUGGUGGCUGUCCCGGAACACAGGGACGGGUCAGCCGCGGCCACCUGUUUCUGCAAGCAGGGGGAGAGCCAGCUGACCCAUGAGCCGCUGGAGGAAGAAUGGAUCCCUCACCGUCAGAUUGAAGAAGGGGAGGAGGAAUUCUAUGUCCGGAAUUGCCAGGUGCAUCAGAGGGUAAGCGAGUGUACACGGGUGUUGAGGAUCCUGCAAGAGGUCACUGCUGGGCAGAUCGUCCCCAACAUCUUGCCCGAUGGGUUGGAUCUGAUGACCUUGAAGGGCAGCAUCAACAUGAGCCGCGUGGCUGUGAUGGGACAUUCAUUUGGCGGGGCCACAGCUGUCUUGGCUUUGGCCAAGGAGACCCAGUUUCGGUGUGCUGUGGCUCUGGAUGCUUGGAUGUUUCCUCUGGAACAUGACUUUUACCCCAAAGCCCAAGGCCCCGUGUUCUUUAUCAAUGCUGAGAAAUUCCAGACAAUGGAGAGUGUCAAUUUGAUGAAGAAGAUAUGUGCUCGGCAUGAACAGUCCAGGAUCAUAACUGUCCUUGGUUCUGUUCAUCGGAGUCAAACUGACUUUGCUUUUGUGGCUGGCAACUGGAUUGGUAAAUUCUUCUCCACUCAAACCCGUGGGAGCUUGGACCCGUAUGAAGGUCAAGAGAUUAUGGUGAGGGCCAUGUUGGCCUUCCUGCAGAAGCACCUAGACCUGAAAGAGGAUUAUGGCCGGUGGAACAACCUCAUUGAAGGCAUCGGACCAUCGCUCAUCCCAGGGGCCCCAUGCCAUCUGUCCAGCCUGUAGGCACAACCAGCCGUUUGUGAAAGGUCACUGAGCUGAGCUCCCAUCUGGGGCCUGCCCGGGGACACCCGUAGCCUCCUAUCAAGAAGUGGUUGAUGUGACCCUUCUUCACAGAUUGAGAGGAUGUAAUCACGCUGCUGAUUGGAUAACUGGGAAAGGAAAUCUUCCUGGAGAUCUAACUCAAAGCUGCCUGGGAACAUCAGCCUGAAACUCUCCUCUCCACUCCUCUAGACUUCAUGCCCCAGCCCAGGUAGGGGACCCCAGAUGAGGCAGGAGCAAAAGGGAAAUGCAUCUCUACACAGUAGAUCAAAGGUCAGUGCCAGCAAAGCAAGCUGGGACCCAUGUCUCCCUUCUCAACAGCUAUUCUUUGUAAGACGUGAAACAUCAGAUCCACUGAGGCUGUGGACCUUGGGAGUAUCUGAUGAAUUCCGGUGAGACGGAGUGUGAGGAGAAUAUCAUUAUUGAAGCACCGGGCUCUAGAAUUCUGUAUCCUGGUUUUGAGUCCUGGCUCUACUACUACUAACUGCAUAAAUUUGAGCAAAUUGUAUUCUCUUUCCAUUCUCAGUUCCUGAAUUUCUAAAACGGGAAUCUGCAUCAUGAAUUAAGAGGAUUAAGCGUAAGGAUGUGUGACCCAUGGAUUAUUUAAAAGUAUGUUUCUUAAUUUCCAAAUACGUGAGAUUUUUGUAGUUAUCUUAUAGCUUUUGUUUUCUGACUUUAUUGCUUUGUGGCCAAAGAAAAUAACCCAUAUGGUCUUCAUCCUUCCAAGAUUUGUUGAAAUUUGCUUUUUGGCCCAGUGUAAGGUCAGUUUUAAAAAUAUUCCGUAUAUGAUUUAAAAGACUGUCCAUUUUGAA